UGUUUGAGUCUGGGGUUCAACUGUCUCUCCUUUCUGCAGAAAUUGUAUCCAUAAUUUUGUAUUUCAGUUCUUCUUUUGCAAAAACCUACAUUUUAUGAACCCGUCAACUGUAUUAGUAUUAUUGUCUCUUUAAAACCUUGGACACACAAAACAUUCUCUGCAACAUAACAUGUGAAUUUAUCAAUGUAAUCAAUAAAAUGUACUAUCUGUAAGAUGUAUGUGAUGGGAUCUGCACUUGUAAAUCUGAAUAUUUUUUUUUUUUUUUUAUAGAGAAAUGCGCUGAAGGUAUGAAUGAGGAAACACUAAAGCCUUGGAGCAAAUAAGUCUCACCUGCAGAGAAUCAGUGUCAGUGAGCUGAAGGCAGAGCAAGCCAGCUGACUGCUGAUGGCUGAAACAGAAAUGUUUGGAGAUGGGGAACAGGGCGUGGUGGAGCCGCCAAUCUCUGCAGCAUUGCAUGGAUCAACAGGCGUGUCAGAGGAUAGGAUCUGAGCAGCAGCCAGGGCUGAGGAUCCGAAGCUCACUUUGAGUUGAAACAGUGUCAUCUGAAUGAAGUCACACAGGUAUUCGUAUGGGAAAUCCAGCUUCUUGUUUCUUUUCUUGAUUUCAUCACUCAGCUGCUUCAGCUCUUUCUGGAAUGCUUCUAUCCGCCUGCGGGGCUCCUUCUCAGUGAAGUGCUCCUCUGGGUAAUCGCCAAAAGCGACCUGAGGAAAUAAAAAAUAUGUAAAAAUA